AGCGAACGCUGGCGGCAGGCCUAACACAUGCAAGUCGAACGAACUCUUCGGAGUUAGUGGCGGACGGGUGAGUAACACGUGGGAACGUGCCUUUUGGUUCGGAAUAACUCAGUGAAACUUGUGCUAAUACCGAAUGUGCCCUUCGGGGGAAAGAUUUAUCGCCAUUAGAUCGGCCCGCGUCUGAUUAGCUAGUUGGUGAGGUAACGGCUCACCAAGGCGACGAUCAGUAGCUGGUCUGUGAGGAUGACCAGCCACACUGGGACUGAGACACGGCCCAGACUCCUACGGGAGGCAGCAGUGGGGAAUCUUGCGCAAUGGGCGAAAGCCUGACGCAGCCAUGCCGCGUGAAUGAUGAAGGUCUUAGGAUUGUAAAAUUCUUUCACCGGGGACGAUAAUGACGGUACCCGGAGAAGAAGCCCCGGCUAACUUCGUG
rnacentral:rRNA from 1 species